GCCGAGGUCGCAUAACCCGGUAUUGCACCGGUCUCGAAAACCGGCGGGCGCAAGCCCUUGGGGGUUCAAAUCCCCUCCUCGGCG
rnacentral:tRNA from 1 species